GAUGAACGCUGGCGGCGUGCCUAAUACAUGCAAGUCGAGCGAACAGAUGAGGAGCUUGCUCCUCUGACGUUAGCGGCGGACGGGUGAGUAACACGUGGAUAACCUACCUAUAAGACUGGGAUAACUUCGGGAAACCGGAGCUAAUACCGGAUAAUAUAUUGAACCGCAUGGUUCAAUAGUGAAAGACGGUUUUGCUGUCACUUAUAGAUGGAUCCGCGCCGCAUUAGCUAGUUGGUAAGGUAACGGCUUACCAAGGCAACGAUGCGUAGCCGACCUGAGAGGGUGAUCGGCCACACUGGAACUGAUACACGGUCCAGACUCCUACGGGAGGCAGCAGUAGGGAAUCUUCCGCAAUGGGCGAAAGCCUGACGGAGCAACGCCGCGUGAGUGAUGAAGGUCUUCGGAUCGUAAAACUCUGUUAUUAGGGAAGAACAAAUGUGUAAGUAACUAUGCACGUCUUGACGGUACCUAAUCAGAAAGCCACGGCUAACUACGUG
rnacentral:rRNA from 1 species